rnacentral:rRNA from 1 species
AUACGGAGGGUGCAAGCGUUAUCCGGAAUCAUUGGGUUUAAAGGGUCCGCAGGCGGACUGAUAAGUCAGUGGUGAAAUCCAGUAGCUUAACUACUGAACUGCCAUUGAAACUGUCAGUCUUGAAUUCGGUCGAAGUGGGCGGAAUGUGUCAUGUAGCGGUGAAAUGCAUAGAUAUGACACAGAACACCGAUAGCGAAGGCAGCUCACUAGGCCUGAAUUGACGCUCAGGGACGAAAGCGUGGGGAGCGAACAGGAUUAGAAACCCUAGUAGUCC